CUGAUCAUUCAAGUUCUGCUAAGCGUCAGUGGAAUGUAAGGAAAAUCAGAACAAAUUUAUUUAUAGAUAUUAUAUAUUAAAUUGAAGUGAAAGGGGGCCGGCCCCACAGAUGAACAUACGGGGGAUUCUUACAUAUAGUAUUAUGUAAUUAGUUACUCUCGGGCGCGAGCUUAUGUUGUUAACGUUAUACUAGUGAAAACAGAUGAAAAAUUGUUAUUUUAUUAUAAAUAAACAAGGUAAUUUACAAUAAUAAUUGUGAGGAAUUCAAGGAUGUUCGGUUAUAGAUCGCACUAGUCGUGCUAGCUAUAUGAGAGAAAGAAGAAAACAUUCCGUGUUUAAUAUUAUAUAAUUUUGGUUAGAGAUAAUGAAUAAAAGUACCGAACUGUUGGAUGCUGACAAGGAUGAGCCUGUAUUUGAGAUGCAGAUCAUCGAUCCGUACUUACCGACGAAAAAGAAGACCAAGUUGCACAUUAUCGCGUGGGACCACAAGAAAACCUACUUCUUAGCCAUUUUCGCGGCCAGUUUCGUUGUGUGGGCCGCCAUAUUCUUUCCUUUGUUAUUUUAUAUGAACAAUAAUCAAUAAAUUGAAAGAGAAAUCAAAA